ensembl:misc_RNA 7SK 7SK RNA
GGAUGUGAAGGCAAUAGGUUUGUGACAUCUGUCACCAUAUUGAUCGCCAGUGUUGAUUCAGGUGAUCUGGCUGGCUAGGUGGGUGUCCCUUCCUCCCUAGCCACUCCGUGUGCAUCCCUCUAGAAGCUGCAAGUUCCAUCAGGGAGGACGACCAUCCCAAUAGAGGAGGACCAGUCUCCUGUCAAGAGUAUACAAGUAGCUGUACUCCCCUGUUAGAACCUCCAAACAAGCUCUCAAAAAAAAAUUGAUGCCUUAUAUACAGUAAGGGCUUCCCUCAUAGCUCAGUCUGUAAAGAAUCUGCCUGCAAUGCAGAAGACAUGGGUUU